AUGCACGCUGGCGGCGUGCCUAAUACAUGCAAGUCGAGCGAACAGACGAGGAGCUUGCUCCUCUGACGUUAGCGGCGGACGGGUGAGUAACACGUGGAUAACCUACCUAUAAGACUGGGAUAACUUCGGGAAACCGGAGCUAAUACCGGAUAAUAUAUUGAACCGCAUGGUCCAAUAGUGAAAGACGGUUUUGCUGUCACUUAUAGAUGGAUCCGCGCCGCAUUAGCUAGUUGGUAAGGUAACGGCUUACCAAGGCAACGAUGCGUAGCCGACCUGAGAGGGUGAUCGGCCACACUGGAACUGAGACACGGUCCAGACUCCUACGGGAGGCAGCAGUAGGGAAUCUUCCGCAAUGGGCGAAAGCUUGACGGAGCAACGCCGCGUGAGUGAUGAAGGUCUUCGGAUCGUAAAACUCUGUUAUUAGGGAAGAACAAAUGUGUAAGUAACUAUGCACGUCUUGACGGUACCUAAUCAGAAAGCCACGGCUAACUACGUG
rnacentral:rRNA from 1 species